UGCGUAGGGUGCGAGCGUUGUCCGGAAUUAUUGGGCGUAAAGAGCUCGUAGGCGGUGUGUCACGUCGGCCGUGAAAACUUGGGGCUUAACCCUGAGCUUGCGGUCGAUACGGGCAUCACUAGAGUUCGGCAGGGGAGACUGGAAUUCCUGGUGUAGCGGUGAAAUGCGCAGAUAUCAGGAGGAACACCGGUGGCGAAGGCGGGUCUCUGGGCCGAUACUGACGCUGAGGAGCGAAAGCGUGGGGAGCGAACAGG
rnacentral:rRNA from 1 species